rnacentral:rRNA from 1 species
AACCUGCCGGACCAAUAGCGGCAAGCCGGGCUCGGGAGUCCUAACCAGGGAUUGCUAAAAUUUGAUGCGGGUGGCGAAAGGGUGAAUAAGGAGUGCUAAACCUUCCUCUAUGAGGGGGAUAGCCUCUCGAAAGAGAGAUUAACACCGCAUAACAUCAACAGUUCGCAUGUCCGGUUGAUUAAAUAUUUAUAGGAUAGAGAUGGGCUCGCGUGACAUUAGCUAGUUGGUAAGGUAACGGCUUACCAAGGCGACGAUGUCUAGGGGCUCUGAGAGGAGAAUCCCCCACACUGGUACUGAGACACGGACCAGACUCCUACGGGAGGCAGCAGUAAGGAAUAUUGGUCAAUGGGCGGAAGCCUGAACCAGCCAUGCCGCGUGCAGGAUGACUGCCCUAUGGGUUGUAAACUGCUUUUGUCCAGGAAUAAACCCAGGUACGUGUACCUGGCUGAAUGUACUGGAAGAAUAAGGAUCGGCUAACUCCGUGCCAGCAGCCGCGGUAAUACGGAGGAUCCGAGCGUUAUCCGGAUUUAUUGGGUUUAAAGGGUGCGUAGGCGGCCUGUUAAGUCAGGGGUGAAAUACGGUGGCUCAACCAUCGCAGUGCCUUUGAUACUGACGGGCUUGAAUCCAUUUGAAGUGGGCGGAAUAAGACAAGUAGCGGUGAAAUGCAUAGAUAUGUCUUAGAACUCCGAUUGCGAAGGCAGCUCACUAAGCUGGUAUUGACGCUGAUGCACGAAAGCGUGGGGAUCGAACAGGAUUAGAUACCCUGGUAGUCCACGCCCUAAACGAUGAUAACUCGAUGUUGGCGAUAGACCGCCAGCGUCUUAGCGAAAGCGUUAAGUUAUCCACCUGGGGAGUACGCCCGCAAGGGUGAAACUCAAAGGAAUUGACGGGGGCCCGCACAAGCGGAGGAGCAUGUGGUUUAAUUCGAUGAUACGCGAGGAACCUUACCCGGGCUUGAAAGUUAGUGAAUGGAUGCAGAGACGCAUCCGUCCUUCGGGACACGAAACUAGUGCUGCAUGGCUGUCGUCAGCUCGUUGCCGUGAGGUGUUGGGUUAAGUAC